GGAGAACCAGCCAUCAUAAGAAGAGCUCCACUUUAAACGAUUGCACACCAAUAACAAUCAGCUGGAAAAUACCAUAGAAUAAGGAAAUGUCAUGAAUUCCAUCUCCUCUGUUGCCUUGAGGUGCAGAAACUGAUGAAAGGAACAGAGAUUAUAAUCAACAUGUGGAGCCUGCUGUCAAGACAAAAAAAUAUGAAGAGAAAAACAGAAGACUUUGCUAAGGGUGGCUCCAGGAAGGUCAUCACUAUUGAACUCUAGUCUGAGUUCCUUUAUCCAAUCUCACAGCACCGUGUGCACACUUCUUAGAGCAUUUUCAGCAGAUAAUCUGAAGAAGGGAGAACCACAGGCAUGUCAGCACUGCUGUCAGUGAUUUAGAGCAACAAACACACCUGUGUUCCAGAAAUACACACUGAGAUUAUCAAGAGGCAGCCAAAUGUGUGGAUGAAGAGUGAAAGAUAGACAUCUCUACCUGCCUGUUCAUGACAUG
rnacentral:lncRNA from 1 species